UACGGGGGGGGCAAGCGUUGUUCGGAAUUACUGGGCGUAAAGGGCUCGUAGGCGGCCAACUAAGUCAGACGUGAAAUCCCUCGGCUUAACCGGGGAACUGCGUCUGAUACUGGAUGGCUUGAGUUUGGGAGAGGGAUGCGGAAUUCCAGGUGUAGCGGUGAAAUGCGUAGAUAUCUGGAGGAACACCGGUGGCGAAGGCGGGACUCUGGGCCGAUACUGACGCUGAGGAGCGAAAGCGUGGGGAGCGAACAGG
rnacentral:rRNA from 1 species